rnacentral:rRNA from 1 species
UACCCAAUGUGCCUAUUCGUGAAAGAUUUAUCGCCUCUAGAUGAGCUCGCGUCUGAUUAGCUAGUAGGUGUGGUAAGAGCGCACCUAGGCGACGAUCAGUAGCUGGUCUGAGAGGAUGAUCAGCCACACUGGGACUGAGACACGGCCCAGACUCCUACGGGAGGCAGCAGUGGGGAAUUUUCCGCAAUGGGCGAAAGCCUGACGGAGCAAGACCGCGUGAGGGAAGAAGGCUCUUGGGUCGUAAACCUCUUUUGUCAGGGAAGAACACAAUGACGGUACCUGACGAAUCAGCCUCGGCUAACUCCGUGCCAGCAGCCGCGGUAAUACGGAGGAGGCAAGCGUUAUCCGGAAUUAUUGGGCGUAAAGCGUCCGUAGAUGGUCGCUUCAAGUCUGCUGUCAAAGACCGGGGCUUAACCCCAGAAAGGCAGUGGAAACUGAACAGCUAGAGAGAGGUAGGGGUAGAGGGAAUUCCCAGUGUAGCGGUGAAAUGCGUAGAGAUUGGGAAGAACAUCAGUGGCGAAAGCGCUCUACUGGACCUUAUCUGACAUUGAGGGACGAAAGCUAGGGGAGCGAAUGGGAUUAGAUACCCCAGUAGUCCUAGC